CCCAUUUAAAGAUCCAGGUCCUUGGAUUUUUCUGAUCUUGUUGAUGCCAACGCAUCAAGAUAUUGCUACCAUGCCCUUUAUGGUUGUUUUCUACACUUUUUCCUACUGAGGUGGGUAGUGAUGAAAUAGAUAUCUGUGGAAAUACUCCCUUUUUGGAAUGUUGGAUGAUGAGACUGAAGGAUGACUAAUAAUACCUGCACUUAAAUGAUCCCAUUACUGUAUCUUGAAUCCUAAAUUAGAUCUUGCCUACUACCUCCUCUCCAGACAAAUAUCAGUUAAGUAUGACAACUGUGGCUGAUCCCUCUUUGGAACAGGAUAGACUGGGUAACCUUUGUAGAAAAAUGCGUGUGGAACAAAGUGCUAUAUGUGACCUUUCUAAUAAGACUGACAAGAGAAAGUAAGUAUACAUCUCAUCAUUUUUCACCAUAUGGAAGAGCUGCUGCUCCCCCU